UACGUAGGGAGCAAGCGUUGUCCGGAUUUACUGGGUGUAGAGGGCGUGCAGCCGGAGAGACAAGUCAGAUGUGAAAUCCACAGGCUCAACCUGUGAACUGCAUUUGAAACUGUUUCCCUUGAGUAUCGGAGAGGUCAUCGGAAUUCCUAGUGUAGCGGUGAAAUGCGUAGAUAUCACGCAGAACUCCGAUCGCGAAGGCAGCCUACCGGCGCGCAACUGACGCUCAUGCACGAAAGCGUGGGUAUCGAACAGG
rnacentral:rRNA from 1 species